rnacentral:lncRNA from 1 species
UUGCUCACCUCUAAAAUCUCAUCGUCUCUCGUUCUCACCCAAGUUCAUCCCAGAAGGAGCACAAGCUUUCCGUCUCAACCGUCACCAUGAGGGCCAAGUGGAAGAAGAAGAGAAUGAGGAGGUUGAAGAGGAAGCGCCGAAAGAUGAGGCAGAGAUCUAAGUGAUUGCAGCAGCAGCAGCACCUGUUUCACAUGGCGUUUCUGAGCCUAGGCUUUUGAGUUUUAUCGGACUUAGUUGUUUGUUAGGGUUAAAAGCGACUCUCAUUUGGUACUUUUAUUUCAAGCUUUCUGUUACAUCUUCUACAUUUUUAAUUGAAAAUUCGACUUUUAUGAGUAAAUUUUGUUUCGUUCUGUGGAUGGAUCGACAUAGUUUGAUGAAUGAAUGUAUCAAUUUAUCUGUUGCUGCCAUUUGAAUGCAUUCUGUAGCUGGAAUGCUGUGUUGCUGUGAUACUGAUUGUAUUUUGGUCUUGAACUCUUGAUGGAUAUCGGCCUUGGUCAGCAUCACAGGAUAGUGGGGUUAGGGUUCUGCUUUAUUAAUGGUCUUGUUGAUUUGGAAAUGUUUGGGCCAUAUAAAUUUAACGUGUUGAUUUCAUUAUGGUGAUCG